ACCUGGGAUAGCUCAGUUGAUAGAGCAUGAGACUUAGGGUUGUGGGUUCAAGCCCCAUGCUGGGCA